GCAGAGCUUCAGAACUCAGAGUCUUCACUAUAUGAUCACGGCAAAUAAAAACAUCUCCUCCACCACACAAGGCACUGUGCCCUCUUCUGCCAACAUGGAUGUACUAUGGAUCUGCCAGGGACCAGAUGGCCAGGAAAAGGAAACUGCUGCAUCCUCUAGAUGGCAGCACAGGAAAAGGGUAGAAGUUUAGGAAGAAAAUCCGUUCUGAUGAUCUGCUGCUGUACUGCAUCUAGUUUAUUCGAGUGUUCUGCUCCAGUAUAAACACACUUAACCUCUUA